rnacentral:rRNA from 1 species
ACGGGUGAGUAACACGUUGGAACCUAGCCCCAAAGUGAGGAAUAAGCCACCGAAAGGUGGUCUAAUACUUCAUAAUAUCCAUCUCGUAUGGAUUAAAAGCUUUAUGCGCUUUGGGAGGGGCCUGCGUAACAUUAGCUAGUUGGUGAGGUAAAAGCUCACCAAGGCUUCGAUGUUUAACUGGUUUGAGAGGAUGACCAGUCACACUGGGACUGAGAUACGGCCCAGACUCCUACGGGAGGCAGCAGUAAGGAAUCUUCCACAAUGGGGCAACCCUGAUGGAGCAAUACCGCGUGCAGGAUGAAGCGUUUCGGCGUGUAAACUGCUUUUAUCACCGAAGAUUAUGACUGUAGGUGAAGAAUAAGGACCGGCUAACUACGUG